rnacentral:rRNA from 1 species
GACGAACGCUGGCGGCGCGCUUAACACAUGCAAGUCGAGCGAUGAAACUGUAACAGAACGCUUCGGGGCGAAGAUAAAGUGGAUUAGCGGCGGACGGGAGAGUAACACGUGAGUAACCGGCCUUAGACAUUGGGAUAGCUACGGGAAACCGGGAUUAAUCCCAAAUAAAAUCAUAAUGACACAUGUCAUAAUGAUCAAAACUCCGAUGGGCUAAGAUGGACUCGCGUUCCAUUAGCUAGUGCGUAGAGUAAACGCCUACCAAGGCGACGAUGGGUAGCCGGGAUGAGAGAGUGAACCCAGACACUUGAGCUAGGCAGCAGUCGAGAAUCUUACGCGAGGCGGGAGAGGGUGAUACAGCCAUACGGAGUGGGUGCAGAAGGCGCGCGGGUUGGAAAGCGCAUUAGGUGGUCGAGACGAGCAGUACGUUUAUACGGGGAGGUAAUGACGGUACCAUAAGAAUAAGCCCCGGCUAACUACGUG